rnacentral:rRNA from 1 species
UACGUAGGGUGCAAGCGUUAAUCGGAAUUACUGGGCGUAAAGCGUGCGCAGGCGGUUAUGUAAGACAGGUGUGAAAUCCCCGGGCUCAACCUGGGAACUGCAUUUGUGACUGCAUCGCUGGAGUGCGGCAGAGGGGAUGGAAUUCCGCGUGUAGCAGUGAAAUGCGUAGAUAUGCGGAGGAACACCGAUGGCGAAGGCAAUCCCCUGGGCCUGCACUGACGCUCAUGCACGAAAGCGUGGGGAGCAAACAGG